rnacentral:SRP_RNA from 1 species
GCUGGGCUAGCUUUUACAGUGCAUACCUGUAAUCCUUACUACUAGAGAGGUUGAAGCUGAGCUCAGAUUUUCUGGGGUAUAGUGGGCUAAACUGAUCAGGUAUCCUCACUAAAUCUGGCCUCAAUAUGGUGGAACCUAGAAGUGGGGAGGGGCACCACGUUGCCUAAUAAGGGGAGGGCCAGUCCAGGUUGGAAACAGAGCAGGUCAAAGCUUCCAUGCUGAUCAGUAGUGCUACUAGACCUGUGAGUGGGGCCUCUGAACUUCCAGCCUGGGUGAAAGAGAAGCAGUUUUUU